AACGCUAGCUACAGGCUUAACACAUGCAAGUCGAGGGGUAGCAGGGUAGCAAUACCGCUGACGACCGGCGCACGGGUGAGUAACACGUAUCCAACCUACCAUUCACACGGGGAUAGCCUUUCGAAAGAAAGAUUAAUACCCGAUAGUAUAACGAUAAGGCAUCUUAUUGUUAUUAAAGAAUUUCGGUGUUUGAUGGGGAUGCGUUCCAUUAGAUUGUUGGUGAGGUAACGGCUCACCAAGUCUUCGAUGGAUAGGGGUUCUGAGAGGAAGGUCCCCCACAUUGGAACUGAGACACGGUCCAAACUCCUACGGGAGGCAGCAGUGAGGAAUAUUGGUCAAUGGACGAGAGUCUGAACCAGCCAAGUAGCGUGAAGGAUGAAGGCCCAAUGGGUCGUAAACUUCUUUUAUAGGGGAAUAAAGUGCGGAACGUGUUCCGCUUUGUAUGUACCCUACGAAUAAGGAUCGGCUAACUCCGUGCCAGCAGCCGCGGUAAUACGGAGGAUCCGAGCGUUAUCCGGAUUUAUUGGGUUUAAAGGGAGCGUAGGUGGAUAUAUAAGUCAGUUGUGAAAGUUUGCGGCUCAACCGUAAAAUUGCAGUUGAUACUGUAUGUCUUGAGUGUACAAGAGGUGGGCGGAAUUCGUGGUGUAGCGGUGAAAUGCUUAGAUAUCACGAAGAACUCCGAUUG
rnacentral:rRNA from 1 species